UUCCUUAAGUUUGAAAGAAUUAAGGGAUAAGCUACUCAUUUAGGUUGAAAAACUAAUGGGUAAACCAUAAAAUUAAAUUACUCUUGCAAUUAGAAUUGUUCAUUGGGAAUUCAAAAUAGUUCACAACCCUAGCUGCUUAAGCAUCUUGGUAACCAUAACUCUAGUUUGACUUUUCUCAUUGAAUUACUUUUUACAAUACAACCAAAUGUUGGAUUACUUUCUUUGACAAAUAUUUGAAUAUAAUUGAUAAAUUAAAAUCCCCCUCUCUUCUUUAACCUUUGACCAACAGUCUAGUAACAUCCAUAAUAUUUAGUGAACACAGUAUUCCAUGUGGGAUUCGACACCCCGCUUACACUCUCUGACGAGAGUUGUAAUUAGGGCGUAUUAAAUUUUGGCGUCAUUGCCAGGGAAUACGAUUGUCAAUUAAGUUUGCGCUUGUUAAUUGACCUUUGGUUAAGCUUCUCAAAUUUUACUUUUGUUUGUUUUUUUUGUUCGGUGUAGGAUAGUUAUUGUGUAUGCCAAGUACACGGAGAUAGAGGUAAAAGACUAAUCAAACCGUCUAGUAGCUGGUUCCCUUUGAAGUUUCCCUCAGGAUAGCUGGAGCUCACAUGAGAGUUUUAUCUAGUAAAGCCAAUGAUUAGAGGCCUCGGGGCCGCAACUCCCUCAACUUAUUCUCAAACUUUAAAUAGGUAGGAUGGUGUGAUUGUUUUUUAUCUACACCAUGGAAUCAAGAGCUCUAAGUGAGCCAUUUUUGGUAAGAAAAACCGACAAUAUGGGAUAAACCAGAAGCUGGGUUACUGUGUUAAACUGCGAGCUAACCUAGAUCCCACAAAGGGUGUUGGUCGAUUAAGGCAGCAAGACGGAGAUCUUGGAAGUCAAAAUCCUCUAAGGAUUGUGUAAAAACUCACCUUCUAAAUUAUCUAGGAUUGAAAAUGGAUAGAGUUUAAGUGCGCAACCUACACCCAGCCGUUAGGGCAAGUACCAGGCCUCAAUAAGCAGAAGGGCAUAACUGUCGCUGCAAAACCUUGGGCGUGAGCCUGGGCAGAGAGAUCGUCAAUAUAGAUCAUGGUGAUAGUAGCAAAUAUUCAAAUGAGAAAUUUGAAGGCCAAAGAGGAAAAAGGUUCCAUAUGAAUGAUACUUGCACAUGGGUUAGUCAAUUCUAAGGGUUGAGGUAACCCUAAUAAAUAGCGUAUUUAGUGCGUACUCCAAAAAAGAAUCAAGUUAAAAUUCCUGAACUGGGAUGUGGCGGUCGACGACAAUGUUAGGAUGUUCAGAGACAUCGGUGGGAGCCUCGAGAAGAGUUAUCUUUUCUUUUUAACAACCUACCCACUCUGGAAUCGGCUCAGCUGGAGGUAGGGUCCAGUAGCUGUAAGAGCAUUGCACAUCACAUGGUGUUUGGUGCAAUUUUGGUGGCCCUUAAAAAUUUGGAGGGCCGAAUGCCGUCCACGCUCAAUCGUAAUCAUAGCCACAUCAGGUCUCCAGGGUGAACAACCUCUGUUCGAUGGUAUAAUGUAGACAAGGGAAGUUGGCAAAAUAGAUCCGCAACUUUGGCAAAAGGAUUGGCUCUGAGGGCUGGGCAUGGGGGUCCUAGUCCUAAACCCAUUGGUUAUCGGUGGACUACCCGAGUUGUUCCUGAGGCAAGAACGGGUCAUCGCGGGCCGUCUGGGGGACAGACUGGGAAUGGUUCCUUCUAGGCCCUUCCCCGUGCGUCGAACGAUCAACUCAGAACUGGUACAGACAAAGAGAAUCCGACUAUUUAAUUAAAAUAAUACAUUGUGAUAGUCCCUAUGAAUGUUCACGCAAUGUGAUUUCUUCCUAGUGCUCUGAAUGUCAAAGUGAAGAAUUUCCACAAAGCGCGGGUAAACGGCGGGAGUAAGUAUGACUCUCUUAAGGUAGCCAAAUGUCUCAUUAUAUAAUUAGUGACGCACAUGAAUAGAUUUAUGAGAUUCCCUCUAUCCCUGUGUACUAUCUAGAAAAACCACAGCCAAGGGAACGGUAUUGGUAGAAUCAGCGGGGAAAGAAGACCCUGCUGAGCUUGACUCUAGUCCGGCUUUGUGAAAUGACUUGAUAGGUGUAAUAUAAGUGGGAUUCAAAAGGAAAAAGUGAAAUAACGCUACUUUUAACGUUAUUUUACUUAUUCCUUAAAUUAGAAGCAGGGUAGUGCCCCUCUUUUUGAACCCAAGGCUCGCUCUGCGGGUUGAUUCAGGUGAAAGACAUUGUCA
rnacentral:rRNA from 1 species